rnacentral:rRNA from 1 species
GACGAAGGGGGCUAGCGUUGUUCGGAAUUACUGGGCGUAAAGCGUGUGUAGGCGGUUGUUCAAGUUGGAUGUGAAAUCCUUGAGCUCAACUCAAGAAAUGCAUUCAGGACUGGAUGACUAGAGGACCGGAGAGGAUAGUGGAAUUCCCAGUGUAGUGGUGAAAUACGUAGAGAUUGGGAAGAACACCAGUGGCGAAGGCGGCUAUCUGGACGGUUUCUGACGCUAAGACGCGAAAGCGUGGGGAGCAAACAGG